UUCCACAUAUUUUGUUUAUCAAGAUAGUAUCCUUCUUUGUGCUUUGCUUUUCAGUUGGGUAAAAUGAUUCUGGUUGAAGCUGGCCUUGGCAGAACUGAAUCUGUGAUCAAGAAAGAUAGAUUCCGGCUAACAGCUCCUGUAGGAUUUGAUUCAAUCGUGACCCCAGGAAGACUCUCUGCCAUGAGCCCGAGUGGUGGAGAUGGUGCACAUGAUCUCACGGCACCAAGCAAAUGCAAUGAAUAUGUGAUUUUUGACCAUCUUCAGGUAAAACCGAUAUGUUUGAUUGAAUAUACCACUUCACAGGCCAGCGUUAAGAGUGUUAGGUUGUAAAUGCCUUAAUUUCUACCUUUCUAAAAGCAUUGAUAUUGUCUUUUUCCUAAACCUUUAUAAAAUACAUACAUUGCCGUCCACUAUGUUUCUGUGGUUUUACCAUGCAGAAAUCAACCAUCAUUUUACCAUGGUUUCUGUGGUAACACUUUUAUUUUUAAAUCUGUUGAAUUCCUGUAAUUUGAAAAUAUUUACUGAAAGUUUUGCCCUGAAAAGUAUAACUUAAAGUCGUAUUUAAAAUCUUAUUCUGGUGUCAUUCUAAGGUUUGUUUUUUGUUGUUUUUUAAGUUUUUUUUUCACCCAAUUUGAGCAUGGAGAAGCCUUCAGGCAUUGGACUGUAUGACGACUGUUACAAGCUCUCUCUCAUUCUAUAAGGUUUAAUUUGGUCAUCAAUACUUCUAAAUGGCUUUUAAAUAUUCUUGCAAAUAUUUGGUAUAUUUUCAUUGACAUUAGCAUUAUGCAUUGCGCAAAAGAGUUCACAAAAUUGGCUCUAAUGCUGAAUGAGUAUGAAAUCUGUCUAUGAUCAUUUACCAU